rfam:Schistosoma rodhaini strain Burundi genome assembly, scaffold: SROB_scaffold0008674
GGCGGCGACUAUACCACGUUGAAAGCAUCGGUUCUUGUUCUAUCAUCGCAGUUAAGCAAUGUUGGGCCCGGUCAGUACUUAGAUGGGUGAUCUGCUGGAGAUACCGGGUGUAGCCAGCU